CAGUCGCCACGGUAAUACGAAGGGUGCAAGCGUUACUCGGAAUUACUGGGCGUAAAGCGUGCGUAGGUGGUGGUUUAAAUCCGUUGUGAAAGCCCUGGGCUCAACCUGGGAAUUGCAGUGGAUACUGGGUCACUAGAGUGUGGUAGAGGAUAGUGGAAUUUCCGGUGUAGCAGUGAAAUGCGUAGAGAUCGGGAGGAACAUCAGUGGCGAAGGCGGCCAUCUGGGACAACACUGACGCUGAGGCACGAAAGCGUGGGGAGCAAACAGGAUUAGAUACCCCAGUAGUCCCUGUCUCUUAUAA
rnacentral:rRNA from 1 species